rnacentral:rRNA from 1 species
ACAGACUCCUACGGGAGGCAGCAGUGGGGGCUCUUGCACAAUGGUUUGCCCCCUGAUGCCGCGCCGCCGCGUGGGUGCAGGAGCGUUUCGGCGCGUAAAGCCCUAUCGGCAGGGAAGCAGGAGGACGGUCCCUGACUAAGAAGCCCCGGCUAACUACGUGCCAGCAGCCGCGGUAAUACGUAGGGGGCAAGCGUUAUCCGGAUUUACGGGGGGUAAAGGGAGCGGAGGCGGUUAGAUAAGGCUGAUGUGAAGGCCCACAGCUGAACUGGGGGAUUGCAGUGGAAACUAUAGAACUAGAGGGGCGGAGAGGUAAGGGGAAUUCCUAGGGGAGCGGUGAAAGGCGGAGAUAUUAGGAGGAACACCAGUGGCGAAGGCGGCUUACGGGACGAUGACUGACGCUGAGGCUCGAAAGCGUGGGGAGCAAACAGGAUUAGAUCCCCCGGUA